rnacentral:rRNA from 1 species
AUGCUGCACAAGAACAGCAUGGCCUCCCGUGUCUUCCUCAUGGCGCUGCUGUUCUCAUGCAGCUCCAUGAGCAGCACAGCACGGUACCUAGAGGAGGCCGUGCCCAAGAAGGAGUAUCCACCACAUCCUAUCAUCCCGGAGCUGCCAAAGCCCGAACUCCCGCCACACCCUGCCAUGCCCGAGCUGCCGAAGCCUGAACUACCUCACCCUCUCCUGCCCGAUGUGCCACACCCAGUGGUGCCGGAGACGCCAAAGGAGCCUGGAGUGCCACACCCGGUGGUGCCGGAGGUGCCAAAGCCUGAGCUGCCGCUACACCCUGCUAUGCCCGUGCUCCCGAAGCCCGAACUACCGCAUCCGGCUGUGCCCGAGGUACCAAAGGAGCCCGAAGCGCCACACCUCGUCGUACCGGAGGUGCCAAAGGAACGCGAACUGCCGCACCCUAUCGUGCCGGAGGUGCCAAAGGAGCCAGAAGUGCCACACCCCGUCGUGCCAGAGGUGACAAAGAAACCUAAAGUGCCACACCCUGUCGUGCCCGAGGUACCAAAGGAGCCCGAAGUCCCACACCCUGCCAUGCCAGAGUUGCCGAAGCCUGAAAUGCCACACCAUGCCGUGCCAGAGGUGCCAAAGGAGCCCCAUGUGUCGCACCCAGAGGUGCCGAAAGAGCCCGAGUUACCGCACCUUGCUGUGCCAGAGGUCCCGAAGCACGAAAUGCCACCAUUCCCCAAAGCCGAGCUGCCCCCAAAGCCUGAAUUCCACUUUCCGGAACCUGCGGCCAAGCCAUGA